UCCAGGUAGGAACAGGCUGGAACAAAACCAGGAUAGAGAAACAUACUGUUGGUGAAGCUUUUCCUGCAUGACUUCUGUAAACUUCAGUCUGGUCGCUGUGAUGAAAUUGCUAUAUGUAGUCGUAUAUUCGAGGACAUGAUUGUGUGUUAAAUUAUGGUUUAAUUGCAUAUAUUCUGAAUGCAGGUUCUUGCUUCAUUGAGGCUGCAUUAGCUUUUGACAGAUCUUCUACGCACUGAAAAUGGAGCUCACUAAUUUGGAAACAGCCGUGGCUUACAUGUUCGGCGUCUUCAUGUCGAAACAAGGGGAUAAUGGGAAAAUCGACAAAUGGGACUUUAUAGAGCUGCUGAAUAAGGAGCUGCCUUCAUUCACCAAGGGAAAAUGUGAAGAUGACGUCUUCCAUUCUGUGGACCUGGAUGAGGAUGGACGUGUGGAUUUCAGAGAGUUUGCCUUACUGGUUGCCAGUUAUGCUUCCAAACACGCUGACAUCCUCCAGGCUAUUGUUGCUGUUUAUAAAUCAGACUGAACAUGUAAAACACUACUGCUGGAAAAUAAUCCAUUAUUAUCUGACCGAAAUGUGAUUUCACCUAGAAUAAAAUAGAUCCAAUCCGG